rnacentral:rRNA from 1 species
CCUACGGGUGGCAGCAGUGGGGAAUAUUGGGCAAUGGGCGCAAGCCUGACCCAGCAACGCCGCGUGAAGGAAGAAGGCCCCCGGGUUGUAAACUUCUUUUAUCAAGGACGAAACAAAUGACGGUACUUGAUGAAUAAGCCACGGCUAACUACGUGCCAGCAGCCGCGGUAGUACGUAGGUGGCAAGAGUUAUCCGGAUUUACUGGGUGAAAAGGGUGUGUAGGCGGGACUGCAAGUCAGAUGUGAAAGCCAUGGGCUCAACCCAUGGCCUGCAUUUGAAACUGUAGUUCUGGAGUGUUGGAGAGGCAGGAGGAAUGCGGGGUGUAGCGGUGAAAUGCGUAGAUAUA